AAUUAGAAUUUAAAUUUUUAAAAUUUAAAUUUGUAAUUUCAAAAUUAAAAUUUAUAAUUUAAAAUUCUAGAUUUUAAAGUUUAAAUUUUAAAUUUGAUAUUUUUAAUUUUUAAAUUUUAAAUAUGAUAUUUUUUAAGUUUUAAAUUUUAAAUUUGAUAUGUUAUAUCUUUCAAAUUUAAAUUUGGUCUUAAAUUUAAAAUUUGAUAUUUAAAAUUAAAAUUUUUAAAAUUUAAAUUUAAAUUUUAAAAUUUAAAAUUUGAAUUUAAAAUUUUAAAUUCAAAUAUAAUGAGAGGCGUAAUACCAUUAUUUUCUAUUUAUAAUUAUCAACUAUUCUUCUUAUUCCAUCUUAUCCAUCCAAACGCUAUUUUUCUUAUUUUCGGGAACAGCCAAAUCUUCAUCCAAACACAAAAUUGGUUUAAUUCUCGCUUAUACCUAAACUUGUACCUAUCCUUGGUAUAAGCUAGUUCUUACUUAUAUCUGAACCAAACGAAUCCUAAGGUACUUUCCUAAAUAGUACCUAAGAAUGUCAAUGACAUUUUAUCCCAAAUCGAAUCGAAAUGGAACGAAUUUAACCGAUGCUAAACAAAUGUAAUUACAGUUUUGAAUAUAAAAAAUCAAAACCUAACGAAUUCAGAUUAGGAUAUGACUUUUAGCUGUAUUUGCCCGAUUCCAACCCUAAACUGAACUAGUUUUAUAUUACAUAAUUUAUAGAAAUUUGAAUUUAUACUUUGAAACUUUAGAUUUGAGUAUAAUAUUUUUAAAUUUUGGUAUACAGAAAUGAUUUCUUUCGGUUUCGAUUUUUCUUUAUUGAUUUUAGUUUUGAUAAUGAAUUUUCAAAACCUGACGGAUUCGAGUUUGAAUUUAAAUUUUGAUUUUGAUAAUCAGAUUCAUAUUCGGAUAUUUUAAAAUCUGCUCCGAAUU
rnacentral:lncRNA from 1 species